rnacentral:rRNA from 2 species
AAUCAACGCUGGCGGCGUGCCUAACACAUGCAAGUCGAACGGGAAAACAGGGGCAACUCUGUGAGUACAGUGGCGUACGGGUGAGUAACACGUGACUACCUACCCUCGAGUGGGGGAUAACCCCGGGAAACCGGGGCUAAUACCGCAUAACAUCGAGAGAUCAAAGGAGCAAUCCGCUUGAGGAGGGGGUCGCGGCUGAUUAGCUAGUUGGUGAGGUAACGGCUCACCAAGGCGAUGAUCGGUAGCCGGCCUGAGAGGGCGCACGGCCACACUGGAACUGAAACACGGUCCAGACUCCUACGGGAGGCAGCAGUGGGGAAUUUUGCGCAAUGGGGGAAACCCUGACGCAGCAACGCCGCGUGGAGGAUGAAGUCCCUUGGGACGUAAACUCCUUUCGACCCGGACGAUAAU